CGCGUAGGCGGGUCGUUAAGUCGGGGGUGAAAUCCCGAGGCUCAACCUCGGAACUGCCUUCGAUACUGGCGACCUAGAGUCCGGGAGAGGUGUAUGGAACUCCUAGUGUAGAGGUGGAAUUCGUAGAUAUUAGGAAGAACACCGGUGGCGAAGGCGAUACACUGGCCCGGUACUGACGCUGAGGCGCGAAAGCGUGGGGAGCAAACAGGAUUAGAUACCCUGGUAGUCCACGCCGUAAACUAUGGAAGCCAGCCGUUGGGGGGUUUACCCCUCAGUGGCGCAGCUAACGCAUUAAGCUUCCCGCCUGGGGAGUACGGUCGCAAGAUUAAA
rnacentral:rRNA from 1 species